rnacentral:rRNA from 1 species
CUCGUAGGCUGUUCGGUCAGUCAGAUGUGAAAGCCCUCGGCUUAACCGGGGAACUGCAUUUGAUACUGCCAGACUUGAGUGUCGGAGAGGGUGGCGGAAUUCCGGGUGUAGGAGUGAAAUCCGUAGAUAUCCGGAGGAACACCAGUGGCGAAGGCGGCCACCUGGACGACAACUGACGCUGAGGAGCGAAAGUGUGGGGAGCAAACA